GACGAACGCUGGCGGCGUGCUUAACACAUGCAAGUCGAACGGAAAGGCCCUGCUUUUGUGGGGUGCUCGAGUGGCGAACGGGUGAGUAACACGUGAGUAACCUGCCCUUGACUUUGGGAUAACUUCAGGAAACUGGGGCUAAUACCGGAUAGGAGCUCCUGCUGCAUGGUGGGGGUUGGAAAGUUUCGGCGGUUGGGGAUGGACUCGCGGCUUAUCAGCUUGUUGGUGGGGUAGUGGCUUACCAAGGCUUUGACGGGUAGCCGGCCUGAGAGGGUGACCGGCCACAUUGGGACUGGGAUGCGGCCCAGACUCCUACGGGAGGCAGCAGUGGGGAAUAGUGCACAAUGGGCGGAAGCCUGAUGCAGCAACGCCGCGUGCGGGAUGACGUCCAUCGGGUUGUAAACCGCUUUCGCCUGUGACGAAGCGUGAGUGACGGUAAUGGGUAAAGAAGCACCGGCUAACUACGUG
rnacentral:rRNA from 1 species